rnacentral:rRNA from 1 species
AGCAGCAGCCACGGUAAUACAGAGGGUGCGAGCGUUAAUCGGAUUUACUGGGCGUAAAGCGUGCGUAGGCGGCUUCUUAAGUCGGAUGUGAAAUCCCUGAGCUUAACUUAGGAAUUGCAUUCGAUACUGGGAAGCUAGAGUAUGGGAGAGGAUGGUAGAAUUCCAGGUGUAGCGGUGAAAUGCGUAGAGAUCUGGAGGAAUACCGAUGGCGAAGGCAGCCAUCUGGCCUAAUACUGACGCCGAGGUACGAAAGCAUGGGGAGCAAACAGGAUUAGAUACCCCUGUAGUCCCUGUCUCUUAUAC